rnacentral:misc_RNA from 1 species
CUGGGUCCACCUCCCACCCGUGUUUAUUUUACCUUGUUGCUUCGGCGGGCCCGCCUUUACUGGCCGCCGGGGGGCUCACGCUCCCGGGCCCGCGCCCGCCGAAGACACCCCCGAACUCUGUCUGAAGA